rnacentral:rRNA from 1 species
UACGUAGGGUGCAAGCGUUAAUCGGAAUUACUGGGCGUAAAGCGUGCGCAGGCGGUUUUGUAAGUCUGUCGUGAAAGCCCCGGGCUCAACCUGGGAAUGGCGAUGGAUACUGGCUCGCUAGAGUGCGGUAGAGGAGAGUGGAAUUCCCGGUGUAGCAGUGAAAUGCGUAGAGAUCGGGAGGAACAUCAGUUGCGAAGGCGGCUCUCUGGACCAGCACUGACACUGAGGCACGAAAGCGUGGGGAGCAAACAGGA